rfam:Triticum aestivum genome assembly, contig: Triticum_aestivum_CS42_TGACv1_scaffold_591916_7BS
AUAUUACUCCCUCCGUCCCAAUAUUCUGGUCUUAAAUUUGUCGAGAUAAGGAUGUACCUAAUACUAAAACGUGACUUGAUACAUUCAUAUUUAGACAAAUCUAAAACAAAAAUUUUGAGACGGAGUGAAUACUAU